rnacentral:rRNA from 1 species
GCUCAACCGAGGAAGUGCUUCGAAAACUGGUAAGCUUGAGUGCAGAAGAGGAAAGUGGAACUCCAUGUGUAGCGGUGGAAUGCGUAGAUAUAUGGAAGAACACCAGUGGCGAAGGCGGCUUUCUGGUCUGUAACUGACGCUGAGAUUCGAAAGCAUGGGUAGCAAACAGGAUUAGAUACCCUGGUAGUCCAUGCCGUAAACGAUGAGUGCUAAGUGUUGGAGGGUUUCCGCCCUUCAGUGCUGCAGCUAACGCAUUAAGCACUCCGCCUGGGGAGUACGACCGCAAGGUUGAAACUCAAAGGAAUUGACGGGGGCCCGCACAAGCGGUGGAGCAUGUGGUUUAAUUCGAAGCAACGCGAAGAACCUUACCAGGUCUUGACAUACCAUGAAAAGCUUAGAGAUAAGUCUUUCCCUUCGGGGACAUGGAUACAGGUGGUGCAUGGUUGUCGUCAGCUCGUGUCGUGAGAUGUUGGGUUAAGUCCCGCAACGAGCGCAACCCUUAUUAUCAGUUGCCAGCAUUCAGUUGGGCACUCUGGUGAGACUGCCGGUGACAAACCGGAGGAAGGUGGGGACGACGUCAAAUCAUCGUGCCCCUUAUGACCUGGGCUACACACGUGCUACAAUGGUCGGUACAACG